rfam:Zea mays cultivar B73 chromosome 2, whole genome shotgun sequence.
GAGGAUAUGAUGACCCUUUCCUCAGAUGAUUGACAAUGAACAUAUUGAGCACUAUAAUUUCUCAUAUGAGAAAACCAUACCAGAAUUGUGAUCCUU